GGGUUGUGAGGUUAAGCGACUAAGCGUACACGGUGGAUGCCCUGGCAGUCAGAGGCGAUGAAGGACGUGCUAAUCUGCGAUAAGCGUCGGUAAGGUGAUAUGAACCGUUAUAACCGGCGAUUUCCGAAUGGGGAAACCCAGUGUGUUUCGACACACUAUCAUUAACUGAAUCCAUAGGUUAAUGAGGCGAACCGGGGGAACUGAAACAUCUAAGUACCCCGAGGAAAAGAAAUCAACCGAGAUUCCCCCAGUAGCGGCGAGCGAACGGGGAGCAGCCCAGAGCCUGAAUCAGUGUGUGUGUUAGUGGAAGCGUCUGGAAAGGCGCGCGAUACAGGGUGACAGCCCCGUACACAAAAAUGCACAUACUGUGAGCUCGAUGAGUAGGGCGGGACACGUGGUAUCCUGUCUGAAUAUGGGGGGACCAUCCUCCAAGGCUAAAUACUCCUGACUGACCGAUAGUGAACCAGUACCGUGAGGGAAAGGCGAAAAGAACCCCGGCGAGGGGAGUGAAAAAGAACCUGAAACCGUGUACGUACAAGCAGUGGGAGCACGCUUAGGCGUGUGACUGCGUACCUUUUGUAUAAUGGGUCAGCGACUUAUAUUCUGUAGCAAGGUUAACCGAAUAGGGGAGCCGAAGGGAAACCGAGUCUUAACUGGGCGUUAAGUUGCAGGGUAUAGACCCGAAACCCGGUGAUCUAGCCAUGGGCAGGUUGAAGGUUGGGUAACACUAACUGGAGGACCGAACCGACUAAUGUUGAAAAAUUAGCGGAUGACUUGUGGCUGGGGGUGAAAGGCCAAUCAAACCGGGAGAUAGCUGGUUCUCCCCGAAAGCUAUUUAGGUAGCGCCUCGUGAAUUCAUCUCCGGGGGUAGAGCACUGUUUCGGCAAGGGGGUCAUCCCGACUUACCAACCCGAUGCAAACUGCGAAUACCGGAGAAUGUUAUCACGGGAGACACACGGCGGGUGCUAACGUCCGUCGUGAAGAGGGAAACAACCCAGACCGCCAGCUAAGGUCCCAAAGUCAUGGUUAAGUGGGAAACGAUGUGGGAAGGCCCAGACAGCCAGGAUGUUGGCUUAGAAGCAGCCAUCAUUUAAAGAAAGCGUAAUAGCUCACUGGUCGAGUCGGCCUGCGCGGAAGAUGUAACGGGGCUAAACCAUGCACCGAAGCUGCGGCAGCGACGCUUAUGCGUUGUUGGGUAGGGGAGCGUUCUGUAAGCCUGUGAAGGUGUACUGUGAGGUAUGCUGGAGGUAUCAGAAGUGCGAAUGCUGACAUAAGUAACGAUAAAGCGGGUGAAAAGCCCGCUCGCCGGAAGACCAAGGGUUCCUGUCCAACGUUAAUCGGGGCAGGGUGAGUCGACCCCUAAGGCGAGGCCGAAAGGCGUAGUCGAUGGGAAACAGGUUAAUAUUCCUGUACUUGGUGUUACUGCGAAGGGGGGACGGAGAAGGCUAUGUUGGCCGGGCGACGGUUGUCCCGGUUUAAGCGUGUAGGCUGGUUUUCCAGGCAAAUCCGGAAAACUAAGGCUGAGGCGUGAUGACGAGGCACUACGGUGCUGAAGCAACAAAUGCCCUGCUUCCAGGAAAAGCCUCUAAGCAUCAGGUAACAUCAAAUCGUACCCCAAACCGACACAGGUGGUCAGGUAGAGAAUACCAAGGCGCUUGAGAGAACUCGGGUGAAGGAACUAGGCAAAAUGGUGCCGUAACUUCGGGAGAAGGCACGCUGAUAUGUAGGUGAAGUCCCUCGCGGAUGGAGCUGAAAUCAGUCGAAGAUACCAGCUGGCUGCAACUGUUUAUUAAAAACACAGCACUGUGCAAACACGAAAGUGGACGUAUACGGUGUGACGCCUGCCCGGUGCCGGAAGGUUAAUUGAUGGGGUUAGCGCAAGCGAAGCUCUUGAUCGAAGCCCCGGUAAACGGCGGCCGUAACUAUAACGGUCCUAAGGUAGCGAAAUUCCUUGUCGGGUAAGUUCCGACCUGCACGAAUGGCGUAAUGAUGGCCAGGCUGUCUCCACCCGAGACUCAGUGAAAUUGAACUCGCUGUGAAGAUGCAGUGUACCCGCGGCAAGACGGAAAGACCCCGUGAACCUUUACUAUAGCUUGACACUGAACAUUGAGCCUUGAUGUGUAGGAUAGGUGGGAGGCUUUGAAGUGUGGACGCCAGUCUGCAUGGAGCCGACCUUGAAAUACCACCCUUUAAUGUUUGAUGUUCUAACGUUGACCCGUAAUCCGGGUUGCGGACAGUGUCUGGUGGGUAGUUUGACUGGGGCGGUCUCCUCCUAAAGAGUAACGGAGGAGCACGAAGGUUGGCUAAUCCUGGUCGGACAUCAGGAGGUUAGUGCAAUGGCAUAAGCCAGCUUGACUGCGAGCGUGACGGCGCGAGCAGGUGCGAAAGCAGGUCAUAGUGAUCCGGUGGUUCUGAAUGGAAGGGCCAUCGCUCAACGGAUAAAAGGUACUCCGGGGAUAACAGGCUGAUACCGCCCAAGAGUUCAUAUCGACGGCGGUGUUUGGCACCUCGAUGUCGGCUCAUCACAUCCUGGGGCUGAAGUAGGUCCCAAGGGUAUGGCUGUUCGCCAUUUAAAGUGGUACGCGAGCUGGGUUUAGAACGUCGUGAGACAGUUCGGUCCCUAUCUGCCGUGGGCGCUGGAGAACUGAGGGGGGCUGCUCCUAGUACGAGAGGACCGGAGUGGACGCAUCACUGGUGUUCGGGUUGUCAUGCCAAUGGCACUGCCCGGUAGCUAAAUGCGGAAGAGAUAAGUGCUGAAAGCAUCUAAGCACGAAACUUGCCCCGAGAUGAGUUCUCCCUGACUCCUUGAGAGUCCUGAAGGAACGUUGAAGACGACGACGUUGAUAGGCCGGGUGUGUAAGCGCAGCGAUGCGUUGAGCUAACCGGUACUAAUGAACCGUGAGGCUUAACCUUACAACGCCGAAGGUGUUU
rnacentral:rRNA from 1 species